rnacentral:rRNA from 1 species
GAUGAACGCUGGCGGCGUGCCUAAUACAUGCAAGUCGAGCGAACAGACGAGGAGCUUGCUCCUCUGACGUUAGCGGCGGACGGGUGAGUAACACGUGGAUAACCUACCUAUAAGACUGGGAUAACUUCGGGAAACCGGAGCUAAUACCGGAUAAUAUAUUGAACCGCAUGGUUCAAUAGUGAAAGACGGUUUUGCUGUCACUUAUAGAUGGAUCCGCGCUGCAUUAGCUAGUUGGUAAGGUAACGGCUUACCAAGGCAACGAUGCGUAGCCGACCUGAGAGGGUGAUCGGCCACACUGGAACUGAGACACGGUCCAGACUCCUACGGGAGGCAGCAGUAGGGAAUCUUCCGCAAUGGGCGAAAGCCUGACGGAGCAACGCCGCGUGAGUGAUGAAGGUCUUCGGAUCGUAAAACUCUGUUAUUAGGGAAGAACAAAUGUGUAAGUAGCUAUGCACGUCUUGACGGUACCUAAUCAGAAAGCCACGGCUAACUACGUG